rnacentral:rRNA from 1 species
AAUAGAUACCCUGGUAGUCUUGGCCAUAAACGAUGAUCACUAGGUGUUGGGGCUUUGCCUCGGUGCCGCAGCUAACGCAUUAAGUGAUCCGCCUGGGAACUACGAGCGCAAGCUUAAAACUCAAAGGAAUUGGCGGGGGCCCGCACAAGCGGUGGAGCAUAUGGCUUAAUUCGAUGCAACGCGAAGAACCUUACCAGGGCUUGACAUGUAUCUGCAAGCACCCGAAACGGUGUCGCCUUCGAGGGUGAUACACAGGUGGUGCAUGGCUGUCGUCAGCUCGUGUUGUGAAAUGUUGGGUUAAGUCCCGCAACGAGCGCAACCCUCAUGUUCUGUUACCAGCGAGUAAUGUCGGGGACUCGGAACAAACUGCCUCUGUAAAGAGGAGGAAGGUGGGGAUGACGUCAAGUCAUCAUGCCCCUUACGCCCUGGGCUGCACAUAUGCUACAAUGGCCGGUACAAAGAGCUGCCAACUCGCGAGAGUGCGCAAAUCUCAAAAAAGCCGGUCUCAGUUCGGU